UACGACUACAUAUCAGGCAUAUCAAUAAGCGGAGGAAAAGAAACUAACUAAGGAUUCCCUUAGUAACGGCGAGUGAAGCGGGAAGAGCUCAAAUUUGAAAUCUUCAAGGUUCUACCUUGACGAACUGUAGUUUAAAGAAGUGUUUUCUGUUAGAUGAGUAGCAAAAGUUCCUUGGAAUGGGACAUCAUAGAGGGUGAGAAUCCCGUAUUUGACGUUAUUCAUUCUAGCUGUGUGAUACACUUUCAAAGAGUCGGAUUGUUUGGGAAUGCAGUCCAAAAUGGGUGGUAAAUUUCAUCUAAAGCUAAAUAUUGGCGAGAGACCGAUAGCGAACAAGUACCGUGAGGGAAAGAUGAAAAGAACUUUGAAAAGAGAGUUAAACAGUACGUGAAAUUGUCAAAAGGGAAGCGUUUGACACCAGUGUUGUUUUUCCGAAAAUCAAUUACGAAUGGCUUGAUUUUGUGUUGUAUUGACCUUUAUCAGCUUUCUGCACUUUUUUCGAGUCCUUCUUAAUGCACUUUUCGGUUAACAAGUCAACAUCAAUUUCUUUUGUUGUAAAAGAGUAUUCGGAAGGUGGCUUUCUUUUCGGAGAAAGUGUUUAUAGCCCUAUACUUCUACAAUCGGAGAGAUUGAGGUCUGCAGCGUAGAUCCUUCGGGGUUAGAUACACUUGUGCUAAGUUGUAGCUUUUCAUAGACAACUUGUUGACUAUGUUUAGUCAUGCGGCUUACUCGCUUGUGCUAUUUUACCUACGCUUAGGAUGUUGAGUAGCGACAUACGCAC
rnacentral:rRNA from 1 species